rnacentral:lncRNA from 1 species
UAAAAAAACUUUAAAAUUUAAAAAUUUUAAUUUUAAAAAAUUAUAAUUUGUAAUUUCACAAUUAAAGUUUAUAAUUUUAAAUUUUAAAUUUUAAAUUUUAAUUUGAUAUUUUAUAUUUUUUAAAUUGAAAUUUUGAUAUUUAUAUUUUAAAUUUAAAUUUGAUCUUAAAUUUUAAAUUUAAAUUUUAAAUUUUAAAUUUAAAUUUUUAAAAUUUAAAAGUUGAGAGUUUAAUUUCAGAUUUUGAAAUUUAAAAGUUAAAAUUUUAAAUUUAAAAAUAAAAAUAAAAAAUUUAAAAAUUCAGAUUCAAAUAUAAUGAGAGAGAUAAUAUCAAUUUUCUAUUUAUAACUACUAACUAUCCUUCUUAUUUCAUCUUAUUUAAUCAAACUCUAUUUUUUUAUUCCCAGAAAUAAUCCAAUUUUUAUCCAAAUGCAAAAUUAAUCUAAUCCCCUCUUAUAUCUCAAUUUAUACAUAUCCUUAGAAUAGAUACCCUACCUAAAUUUAUUGAAUAUCCACUUUAGUACCUUUUAGUUUUAAUUUUGUCACUGAUUUAACAAAAAAAAAUUAGUGAAAGGUCAAAGGGGUAAUAAAAAUAAAUAAAUAAAAUCACAGGGUACUAAAUCAGUACACUUUAAUUCAUAAGGUACCAAAAUGAGAAAGUGCAAAACCACAUGGGUGGUAUUUGAAGUUUUUUUUUUUUUUU